rnacentral:rRNA from 1 species
UACGAAGGGGGCUAGCGUUGUUCGGAAUUACUGGGCGUAAAGGGCGCGUAGGCGGAUGGCACAGUCAGAUGUGAAAUUCCCGGGCUUAACCUGGGGGCUGCAUUUGAUACGUAUUGUCUUGAGUUCGGAAGAGGGUCGUGGAAUUCCCAGUGUAGAGGUGAAAUUCGUAGAUAUUGGGAAGAACACCGGUGGCGAAGGCGGCGACCUGGUCCGACACUGACGCUGAGGCGCGAAAGCGUGGGGAGCAAACAGG